rnacentral:tRNA from 1 species
GCCGGGAUAGCUCAGUUGGUAGAGCAGAGGAUU